rnacentral:rRNA from 1 species
UACGGGGGGGGCAAGCGUUGUUCGGAAUUACUGGGCGUAAAGGGCUCGUAGGCGGCCAACUAAGUCAGACGUGAAAUCCCUCGGCUUAACCGGGGAACUGCGUCUGAUACUGGAUGGCUUGAGGUUGGGAGAGGGAUGCGGAAUUCCAGGUGUAGCGGUGAAAUGCGUAGAUAUCUGGAGGAACACCGGUGGCGAAGGCGGCAUCCUGGACCAACAUUGACGCUGAGGAGCGAAAGCCAGGGGAGCAAACGGG